GACGAACGCUGGCGGCGUGCUUAACACAUGCAAGUCGAACGGAAAGGCCCUGCUUUUGUGGGGUGCUCGAGUGGCGAACGGGUGAGUAACACGUGAGUAACCUGCCCUUGACUUUGGGAUAACUUCAGGAAACUGGGGCUAAUACCGGAUAGGAGCUCCGGCUGCAUGGUGGGGGUUGGAAAGUUUCGGCGGUUGGGGAUGGACUCGCGGCUUAUCAGCUUGUUGGUGGGGUAGUGGCUUACCAAGGCUUUGACGGGUAGCCGGCCUGAGAGGGUGACCGGCCACAUUGGGACUGAGAUACGGCCCAGACUCCUACGGGAGGCAGCAGUGGGGAAUAUUGCACAAUGGGCGGAAGCCUGAUGCAGCAACGCCGCGUGCGGGAUGACGGCCUUCGGGUUGUAGACCGCUUUCGCCUGUGACGAAGCGUGAGUGACGGUAAUGGGUAAAGAAGCACCGGCUAACUACGUG
rnacentral:rRNA from 1 species